rnacentral:lncRNA from 1 species
CUGAUUUGAUCCAUUGAAUUUGAAAUUGAGAAAUUGGUAACUUUAGGGACCAUAUGGAGGAAUGGAUUCCAUGGGUGAAUACCCACAUACCUUGAUACUCAAAGCCUAAGAUGAAUGGUGAAUUGAUGUCCUUGAAUGAACCCUAGCUUCUUAUUCUUCCUUAGGUUGAGAGAGAAAUUGGGGAGUGAAUUUGGUUAGGUUUUUGGGAAAUAGGG